rnacentral:rRNA from 1 species
CCUACGGGAGGCAGCUGUGGGGAAUAUUGGACAAUGGGCGAAAGCCUGAUCCAGCAAUACCGCGUGUGUGAAGAAGGCCUGAGGGUUGUAAAGCACUUUCAAUGGGAAGGAAUACCUAUCGGUUAAUACCCGGUAGACUGACAUUACCCAUACAAGAAGCACCGGCUAACUCCGUGCCAGCAGCCGCGGUAAU